UACGUAGGGGGCUAGCGUUGUCCGGAUUUAUUGGGCGUAAAGAGCGUGUAGGCGGCCAUGUAGGUCCGGUGUGAAAACUCGAGGCUUAACCUCGAGAUGUCAUCGGAAACCAUUUGGCUAGAGUCCGGAAGAGGAGAGUGGAAUUCCUGGUGUAGCGGUGGAAUGCGCAGAUAUCAGGAGGAACACCAAUAGCGAAGGCAGCUCGCUGGGACGGUACUGACGCUGAGGCGCGAAAGCGUGGGGAGCGAACAGG
rnacentral:rRNA from 1 species